CGAGUUAACUUGGAGGCUUGCUCCCGUAAACUUAAGCGGCGGACGGGUAGGAGGUAACACUAGGGCAACCUAACCCUAUAAAGACUAGGAGUAACUUCGGAAACCGGGAGCUAAUACCGGACUAAUUCUACAUCUACUCAUGUAGAUGUGCUGAAAGACGGUUUACGCUGUACACUUAUAGAUGGGCCCGCGGCGCAUUAGCUAGUUGGUGAGGUAACGGCUCACCAAGGCCACGAUGCGUAGCCGACCUGAGAGGGUGAUCGGCCACACUGGGACUGAGACACGGCCCAGACUCCUACGGGAGGCAGCAGGUAGGGAAUCUUCCGCAAUGGGCGAAAGUCUGACGGAGCAACGCCGCGUGAGUGAUGAAGGUUUUCGGAUCGUAAAACUCUGUUGUUAGGGAAGAACAAGUACCAGAGUAACUGCCGGUACCUUGACGGUACCUAACCAGAAAGCCACGGCUAACUACGUG
rnacentral:rRNA from 1 species